UGCAGUCGAACGAUGAACCUCACUUGUGGGGGGAUUAGUGGCGAACGGGUGAGUNACACGUGAGUAACCUGCCCUUGACUCUGGGAUAAGCCUGGGAAACCGGGUCUAAUACUGGAUACGACCUUCUGGCGCAUGCCAUGUUGGUGGAAAGCUUUUGUGGUUUUGGAUGGACUCGCGGCCUAUCAUCUUGNUGGKGGGGUAAUGGCCUACCAAGGCGACGACGGGUAGCCGGCCUGAGAGGGUGACCGGCCACACUGGGACUGANACACGGCCCANACUCCUACGGGAGGCAGCAGUGGGGAAUAUUGCACAAUGGGCGCAAGCCUGAUGCAGCGACNCCGCGUGAGGGAUGAAGGCCUUCGGGUUGUAAACCUCUUUCAGUANGNAAGAAGCGAAAGUGACGGUACCUGCANAAGAAGCGCCGGCUAACUACGUGCCAGCAGCCGCGGUAAUACGUAGGGCGCAAGCGUUAUCCGGAAUUAUUGGGCGUAAAGAGCUCGUAGGCGGUUUGUCGCGUCUGCCGUGAAAGUCCGGGGCUUAACUCCNGAUCUGCGGUGGGUACGGGCAGACUAGAGUGCAGNAGGGGAGACUGNAAUUCCUGGUGUAGCGGUGAAAUGCGCAUAUAUCAGGAGGAACACCGAUGGCGAAGGCANGUCUCUGGGCUGUAACUGACGCUGAGGAGCGAAAGCNUGGGGAGCGAACAGGAUUAGAUA
rnacentral:rRNA from 1 species